GAUGUCGUGGCCGAGUGGUCUAAGGCGCUGGCUUUAGGCGCCAGUCCGAAAGGGCGUGGGUUCGAACCCCACCGACAUCA